rnacentral:rRNA from 1 species
CAGUUCGGAUCGGAGUCUGNAACCCGACUCCGUGAAGCUGGAUUCGCUAGUAAUCGCGCAUCAGCCAUGGCGCGGUGAAUACGUUCCCGGGCCUUGUACACACCGCCCGUCAAGCCAUGGAAGCCGGGGGCGCUUGAAGUGCGUUGCCGCAGGGCGCGCCCUAGAGCGAAACCGGUGACUGGGGCUAAGUCGUAACAAGGUAGC